rnacentral:RNase_P_RNA from 1 species
GAAGCAAGCCAGACCGCCGCUGGGGCAGGCGUGGAAACACGGCCCUGGAGGAAGGUCCGGACUGCAUAGAGCGGCGUAGCAGCUAACGGCUGCCCGGCGAAAGCCGAGGAUCAGAGCAACAGAGACGAGUCAAGUCGGGCUUCGGCCUGACUUGGGUGAAACGGGCAAUCUCUACGCGCAGCAACACCAAGUAGGCCAGCGUUGAUGCGGCUCGCAGAGCUGGCGGGUAGGUGGCACCGAGCCGGGCAGUGAUGUCCGGCCCAGAGGAAUGGCGGUCACGCCGUCCGACCCGUAAGGGAAGGGUGGUGCACAGAAUCCGGCCUAUCGGCUUGCUUCACUC